GACGAACGCUGGCGGCGCGCUUAACACAUGCAAGUCGAACGGAAAGGCCUGCUUUCCCUUGUGGAUUGCGGGUACUCGAGUGGCGAACGGGUGAGUAACACGUGAGUGAUCUGCCCCCAACUUGGGUAUAAGCCUGGGAAACUGGGUCUAAUUCCCGAUAGGACUGCAGGGUGGUGCCUGUGGUGGAAAACGAUUUUCUAGUGGUCGGGGUUGAGCUCGCGGCCUAUCAGCUCGUUGGUGGGGUAAUGGCCUACCAAGGCGGCGACGGGAAGCCGGCCCGAGGGGGUGGGCGGGCACGUUGGGACUGAGAUACGGCGCAGACUCCUACGGGAAGCAGCAGUGGGGAGGAAGGAGCAAUGAGUGGAAGCCUGAGGCAGCGACGCCGAGUGAGGGAUGCCGGCCUUCGGAUUGUAGACUCCUGUCUGCCGCGAGGAUGCCACCUGGUUGGAGGGGUAGUGACGGUAAUGGUAGAAGAAGCACCGGCUAACUACGUG
rnacentral:rRNA from 1 species